rnacentral:rRNA from 1 species
ACGGGUGAGUAACGCGUGGGAAUCUACCCAUCUCUGCGGAAUAGCUCUGGGAAACUGGAAUUAAUACCGCAUACGCCCUACGGGGGAAAGAUUUAUCGGGGAUGGAUGAGCCCGCGUUGGAUUAGCUAGUUGGUGGGGUAAAGGCCUACCAAGGCGACGAUCCAUAGCUGGUCUGAGAGGAUGAUCAGCCACAUUGGGACUGAGACACGGCCCAAACUCCUACGGGAGGCAGCAGUGGGGAAUAUUGGACAAUGGGCGUAAGCCUGAUCCAGCCAUGCCGCGUGAGAGAUGAAGGCCUUAGGGUUGUAAAGCUCUUUCACCGAUGAAGAUAAUGACGGUAGUCGGAGAAGAAGCCCCGGCUAACUUCGUGCCAGCAGCCGCGGUAAUACGAAGGGGGCUAGCGUUGUUCGGAAUUACUGGGCGUAAAGCGCACGUAGGCGGAUAUUUAAGUCAGGGGUGAAAUCCCGCAGCUCAACUGCGGAACUGCCUUUGAUACUGGGUAUCUUGAGUAUGGAAGAGGUAAGUGGAAUUCCGAGUGUAGAGGUGAAAUUCGUAGA